rnacentral:lncRNA from 1 species
CGGAAUCGAGGGAGAGCCAGGCAGAUCGAUCGGUUGCUCAGUCUAGUUUCGUACGGCCACAUCGAUGACGACGGUGGAGGAGAUCCAGGUAGGUCGGUUGCUCGGUCUGGCUCCGUACGGCCACAUUGACGACGACGACAGUGGAAGAGAUCCAUGCAGGUCGGUCGCUCGGCCUGGUUCCGUACGGCCACAUCGACGACGACGACGACGGUGGAAGAGAUCCAGGCAGGUCGGUUGCUCGGCCUAGUUCCGUAUGGCCACAUCGACGACGGUGGAGGAGAUCCAGGCAGGUCUGUUGCUUGGUCUGGCUUCGUACGGCCACAUCUACGACGACAACGGUGGAGGAGAUCCAGGCAGGUCGAUUGCUCGAUCUGGUUCCGUAUGGCCACAUCGACGAUGACGGUGGAGGAGAUCAGGUUGCUGACGGCGGAGGGUCUGCUGACGCGAGUGGCG